UGCAGAUCUCAGUAACCCCUUUAGAGGAUGACUGAUUUCUUUUGGUGUUCAGAGUCAAUAAUAUUUUCUAGCACCAUUUGAAAUCGGUUAUAGUGAUUGGGGAAUUGCUCCUUGCGAAUU
rnacentral:precursor_RNA from 10 species